AGUGAACGCUGGCGGUAGGCCUAACACAUGCAAGUCGAACGGCAGCACAGUAAGAGCUUGCUCUUACGGGUGGCGAGUGGCGGACGGGUGAGGAAUACAUCGGAAUCUACUUUUUCGUGGGGGAUAACGUAGGGAAACUUACGCUAAUACCGCAUACGACCUACGGGUGAAAGCAGGAGAUCUUCGGACCUUGCGCGAUUGAAUGAGCCGAUGUCGGAUUAGCUAGUUGGCGGGGUAAAGGCCCACCAAGGCGACGAUCCGUAGCUGGUCUGAGAGGAUGAUCAGCCACACUGGAACUGAGACACGGUCCAGACUCCUACGGGAGGCAGCAGUGGGGAAUAUUGGACAAUGGGCGAAAGCCUGAUCCAGCCAUACCGCGUGGGCGAAGAAGGCCUUCGGGUUGUAAAGCCCUGUUGUUGGGAAAGAAAAGCAGCAGGUUAAUACCCCGCUGUUCUGACGGUACCCAAAGAAUAAGCACCGGCUAACUUCGUG
rnacentral:rRNA from 1 species